CUGGGAACAUACAUUUCACAUACAGGUAGGGAGCAUCCAAUAGAAAGCAGCUGCAUUUCAUAAGGAAUGCCACUCUCCCUACCGACUGAUUCAGUUGAGAAGCAAAUCAUGCAGGAAUCUAUGCACGAACAUCAAACUGUAGUGAAUUGGAAAACAAAAUUUAGGCAAAAUGUGUUGAUCUGGAAAACAUCUCCAACUACACCUUUUGUCACCACUUGGUUAUUUGAG